rnacentral:rRNA from 1 species
GAUGAACGCUGGCGGCGUGCCUAAUACAUGCAAGUCGAGCGAACAGACGAGGAGCUUGCUCCUCUGACGUUAGCGGCGGACGGGUGAGUAACACGUGGAUAACCUACCUGUAAGACUGGGAUAACUUCGGGAAACCGGAGCUAAUACCGGAUAAUAUAUUGAACCGCAUGGUUCAAUAGUGAAAGACGGUUUUGCUGUCACUUAUAGAUGGAUCCGCGCCGCAUUAGCUAGUUGGUAAGGUAACGGCUUACCAAGGCAACGAUGCGUAGCCGACCUGAGGGGGGGAUCGGCCACACUGGAACUGAGACACGGUCCAGACUCCUACGGGAGGCAGCAGUAGGGAAUCUUCCGCAAUGGGCGAAAGCUUGACGGAGCAACGCCGCGUGAGUGAUGAAGGUCUUCGGAUCGUAAAACUCUGUUAUUAGGGAAGAACAAAUGUGUAAGUAACUAUGCACGUCUUGACGGUACCUAAUCAGAAAGCCACGGCUAACUACGUG